rnacentral:rRNA from 1 species
CCUACGGGAGGCUGCAGUGGGGAAUAUUGGACAAUGGGGGGAACCCUGAUCCAGCCAUGCCGCGUGUGAAGAAGGCCCUCGGGUUGUAAAGCACUUUCAGUGAGGAAGAACGCCUGGUGGUUAAUACCCAUCAGGAAAGACAUCACUCACAGAAGAAGCACCGGCUAACUCCGUGCCAGCAGCCGCGGUAAUACGGAGGGUGCGAGCGUUAAUCGGAAUUACUGGGCGUAAAGCGCGCGUAGGUGGCUUGAUAAGCCGGUUGUGAAAGCCCCGGGCUCAACCUGGGAACGGCAUCCGGAACUGUCAAGCUAGAGUGCAGGAGAGGAAGGUAGAAUUCCCGGUGUAGCGGUGAAAUGCGUAGAGAUCGGGAGGAAUACCAGUGGCGAAGGCGGCCUUCUGGACUGACACUGACACUGAGGUGCGAAAGCGUGGGUAGCAAACAGGAUUAGAUACCCUGGUAGUC